rnacentral:rRNA from 1 species
UACGUAGGGUGCAGGCGUUGUCCGGAAUUAUUGGGCGUAAAGAGCUCGUAGGCGGUCUGUCGCGUCGGAUGUGAAAAUCCAGGGCUCAACCCUGGACCUGCAUUCGAUACGGGCAGACUAGAGUUCGGUAGGGGAGACUGGAAUUCCUGGUGUAGCGGUGAAAUGCGUAGAGAUGUGGAGGAACACCAGUGGCGAAGGCGACUCUUUGGCCUGUAACUGACGCUGAGGCGCGAAAGCGUGGGGAGCAAACAGG